ensembl:rRNA 5S_rRNA 5S ribosomal RNA
GUAUAUUGUCAUAUCACCUAAAAACUUCUGCUUCUUAUCAGAUCUGAGAAGCCAAGUAGGGUCAGGCUUGAAUGGUACUUAAAUGAGAGAACAAACAAGAUUAUUAUAAACA